rnacentral:rRNA from 1 species
UACAGGGGUGCUAGCGUUGUUCGGAAUUACUGGGCGUAAAGGGCACGUAGGCGGUGAAUCGGGUUGAAAGUGAAAGUCGCCAAAAAGUGGCGGAAUGCUCUCGAAACCAAUUCACUUGAGUGAGACAGAGGAGAGUGGAAUUUCGUGUGUAGGGUGAAAUCCGUAGAUCUACGAAGGAACGCCAAAAGCGAAGGCAGCUCUCUGGGUCCCUACCGACGCUGGGUGCGAAAGCAUGGGGAGCGAACAGG